UGUGAGAGUAAAAACCAAAGUCGAAAAUCAUCUCAACUGCUCUGCUACUCUUGGACAUUGGUCAGAAGAUAGUCCAGCAUUAACCCCCUGAGACUGAAGUUGCAUCAAUUGUCGUUGAUUAAGCUUUAACCACAUAUUUAUGGGGAAGCCUAAGUGGUGUUUGCUGGUUGAAAUAGCUCUGAUUUACAACAACAGGUCAUGGCCAACUUGGUGUUGUAGUCAACAUCUGCUCAAUUAGCUCCGGGUAGUGCAUCAUUAGAGCUAGACUUGGCACUUCUUCGUUCUGCUUAUUGGUCCCAGGUCAGCAGGUAUCUUGACUUCCUCCAGUUAACCUGACUCAUAAGGCUAAACCACAUUCUCAGACUCAUAAGAAGCUAGUAGUUUUUUUGAUAAUUGUAUUAUAAUAACUAAAAAAGAAGACUGGAAAGGUGAAACCAACAGACGAGAGAAACUGAUGAAGUACACGUGGCAUCCCUAAAUCAACCAAACCUAUACUCCAUUGUUCUUUCGACCAAACCCUGAAUCUCCCUCAUCUCUCAGCUCCAUUGUUUGUUUUCUGCUUCUUUACAAGGAGAAAUGGUACUAGUUAUGAAGCUUAGAACAUAAUCGAUCUUCCUCUCUAUCUUCAUCUUUUAGCUCUGUCCCUCUCGCGGUUCUUUCAGCUACGUUUUCUUCUUGUGUUUCUGAGUGAUGAGUGUUACUGUUCUAAUGUCAAACCUUUGAUAUUUCUCUCAGUCUCAUUCGAUGUCAUAGAGAAAUGGGCAUUG